UACGAAGGGGGCUAGCGUUGUUCGGAUUUACUGGGCGUAAAGCGCACGUAGGCGGAUCGAUCAGUCAGGGGUGAAAUCCUAGGGCUCAACUCCGGAAUUGCCUUUAAGACUGCAUCGCUCGAAUCAUGGAGAGGUGAGUGGAAUUCCGAGUGUAGAGGUGAAAUUCGUAGAUAUUCGGAAGAACACCAGUGGCGAAGGCGACUCACUGGACAUGUAUUGACGCUGAGGUGCGAAAGCGUGGGGAGCAAACAGG
rnacentral:rRNA from 1 species